rnacentral:misc_RNA from 1 species
GGCUGGGUUCGAGCCUCAGAUAAAGAAACGGGAUAAUCAGAUCAAUGUUUCGAACUUGUUUCAACAGGUGGCAAACAGCAAAGUCCCCGUGGUUGAAAAUGGUGAAACUCAGUGCGUCGUGAAAGAGAGAGUUGAGAUUCCAUUUGAAUCGGUUGUGGCUACUCCAGAUGUAAAUUAUGGCUGUGGAUGAAAGGUUGUUCCUUUUUCUGUCUUCUUUUUGUGUAAAUCCCACUUUAAGUUUUUGACUCUAUUAACUCUGUGUGGCCUGACAAUGUAAUUUGUCUUAGCUAGAGAAAAGUUCAGUCAGAAAAU